UUCGACACACUAUCAUUAACUGAAUCCAUAGGUUAAUGAGGCGAACCGGGGGAACUGAAACAUCUAAGUACCCCGAGGAAAAGAAAUCAACCGAGAUUCCCCCAGUAGCGGCGAGCGAACGGGGAGCAGCCCAGAGCCUGAAUCAGUAUGUGUGUUAGUGGAAGCGUCUGGAAAGGCGCGCGAUACAGGGUGACAGCCCCGUACACAAAAAUGCACAUGCUGUGAGCUCGAUGAGUAGGGCGGGACACGUGGUAUCCUGUCUGAAUAUGGGGGGACCAUCCUCCAAGGCUAAAUACUCCUGACUGACCGAUAGUGAACCAGUACCGUGAGGGAAAGGCGAAAAGAACCCCGGCGAGGGGAGUGAAAAAGAACCUGAAACCGUGUACGUACAAGCAGUGGGAGCACAGAGCAAUCUGUGUGACUGCGUACCUUUUGUAUAAUGGGUCAGCGACUUAUAUUCUGUAGCAAGGUUAACCGAAUAGGGGAGCCGAAGGGAAACCGAGUCUUAACUGGGCGUUAAGUUGCAGGGUAUAGACCCGAAACCCGGUGAUCUAGCCAUGGGCAGGUUGAAGGUUGGGUAACACUAACUGGAGGACCGAACCGACUAAUGUUGAAAAAUUAGCGGAUGACUUGUGGCUGGGGGUGAAAGGCCAAUCAAACCGGGAGAUAGCUGGUUCUCCCCGAAAGCUAUUUAGGUAGCGCCUCGUGAAUUCAUCUCCGGGGGUAGAGCACUGUUUCGGCAAGGGGGUCAUCCCGACUUACCAACCCGAUGCAAACUGCGAAUACCGGAGAAUGUUAUCACGGGAGACACACGGCGGGUGCUAACGUCCGUCGUGAAGAGGGAAACAACCCAGACCGCCAGCUAAGGUCCCAAAGUCAUGGUUAAGUGGGAAACGAUGUGGGAAGGCCCAGACAGCCAGGAUGUUGGCUUAGAAGCAGCCAUCAUUUAAAGAAAGCGUAAUAGCUCACUGGUCGAGUCGGCCUGCGCGGAAGAUGUAACGGGGCUAAACCAUG
rnacentral:rRNA from 1 species